rfam:Lasius niger Lnig_2.1_19039, whole genome shotgun sequence.
GAAGUUAAGCAACAUUGGGCAUGGUCAGUACUUGGAUGGGUGACCGCUUGGGAACACCAUGUACCGUUGGCA